UGGCGCACGGGUGCGUAACGCGUGGGAAUCUGCCCUUGGGUUCGGAAUAACAGUUGGAAACGACUGCUAAUACCGGAUGAUGACGUAAGUCCAAAGAUUUAUCGCCCAGGGAUGAGCCCGCGUAGGAUUAGCUAGUUGGUGGGGUAAAGGCCUACCAAGGCGACGAUCCUUAGCUGGUCUGAGAGGAUGAUCAGCCACACUGGGACUGAGACACGGCCCAGACUCCUACGGGAGGCAGCAGUAGGGAAUAUUGGACAAUGGGCGCAAGCCUGAUCCAGCAAUGCCGCGUGAGUGAUGAAGGCCUUAGGGUUGUAAAGCUCUUUUACCAGAGAUGAUAAUGACAGUAUCUGGGGAAUAAGCCCCGGCUAACUCCGUGCCAGCAGCCGCGGUAAUACGGAGGGGGCUAGCGUUGUUCGGAAUUACUGGGCGUAAAGCGCACGUAGGCGGCGAUUUAAGUCAGAGGUGAAAGCCCGGGGCUCAACCCCGGAACUGCCUUUGAGACUGGAUUGCUUGAAUCCGGGAGAGGUGAGUGGAAUUCCGAGUGUAGAGGUGAAAUUCGUAGAUAUUCGGAAGAACACCAGUGGCGAAGGCGGCUCACUGG
rnacentral:rRNA from 1 species